rnacentral:rRNA from 1 species
UAGGGAAUCUUCCACAAUGGACGCAAGUCUGAUGGAGCAACGCCGCGUGAGUGAAGAAGGUUUUCGGAUCGUAAAGCUCUGGUGUUGGUGAAGAAGGAUAGAGGUAGUAACUGGCCUUUAUUUGACGGUAAUCAACCAGAAAGUCACGGCUAACUACGUGCCAGCAGCCGCGGUAAUACAUAGGUGGCAAGCGUUGUCCGGAUUUAUUGGGCGUAAAGCGAGCGCAGGCGGAAGAAUAAGUCUGAUGUGAAAGCCCUCGGCUUAACCGAGGAAUUGCAUCGGAAACUGUUUUUCUUGAGUGCAGAAGAGGAGAGUGGAACUCCAUGUGUAGCGGUGGAAUGCGUAGAUAUAUGGAAGAACACCAGUGGCGAAGGCGGCUCUCUGGUCUGCAACUGACGCUGAGGCUCGAAAGCAUGGGUAGCGAACAGGAUUAGAUACCCUGGUAGUCCAUGCCGUAAACGAUGAGUGCUAAGUGUUGGGG